AUGUGAAAUUCAUCAAAUUAACACGAAGGUAGUAUAUUACAAUUUUUCCAAUCUAUUACAAAGCAGAUAUGUCUAUUAUUACAAUAUAUAAUGUGCAUUCUUGGAUAAGUAGAGCUUCACACAAUUGGCUUCAAGGCUUCGCACUUCAACUUUCUUAGGCCUGGAGGUCCUGUAGAAGAAACAACCAUAUUUGUAAGAGCUACAAGAUACAGAUCAAGAAUAGAAACAAGGCACAAAAACAAGCAAUCCAUGGCGGAAACCUUGAAGCGACAAAUGUUUCUGAACUCAGAUGAGAGAAGUUUGAGUCUAGCCAAUUAAACCAACUACCACUGAUGUAACCUAUAAAGAUGGACUGAGCAAUAAAAAUACGAAAAAAUGACAGCUGAAUUAUGAAGAGUCGUAAAUUUGACCCCUUUUGGCCUUAAUUAAUUGUGUGAAGCUGAAAUGAUUAAUCUAAAGUAAGAUAUACCGGUAUGUAGGCAAAAAAUGUAGUUGAAUGAUCCAUACUUGAAUAACCUAAAAAAGAAGGCAGCAUCAAAUACUAUAGUAAUUAUUAUUGUACAUGAUAUAGUAAGGUACUCUCACUGGUUAAGGUACUCUACAGUACACGUACGUCGUACCAAAGUAUGCGUCCAGACAGUAAGCAGACACAAUUAGCUAGUCUUGUACGCACAUUUUUCCACAUGUAUUUAUAAUAAUUAUUUUUUAGUAAUAUAUGUUGCCAAUGCUAUGUAUCACUAAUUCAGUCCAACUAAACCGACAAAUGCUACGGGCAGAAGUCCCAUCAGCAUCACAAAUCAGAAGAACAUACCCCCCUAAGUCUGAUCAACUAGUCCUCGCUUGCGACUACCCACAUGAUACAAUAAAACCCAUGCGAUUUAGUAUGAUAACAAAGUGCUGGUUUGACCGCCAACUCAAAACAGCAAUUAAUUUGUACACUAUCUGACACGCAAGUGAAAGACCACUAAAAGAUGCUCUAUCUAACAGUACCUCGGUGAUGACACACUCUGGAGCCAAGUUCCUCAAAUGCACAAACAGUAGUGUAUGGAAAUCUGAGUUCAAAUGCUAUAGGAGUAACCAGUUUUUUCAAUGUGUAAAUCAUGUGUUGAACAAAGUAGAAUAAUCAUAAACAAACAGAACUACUGCAGAUCACAUUGCAAUGUCUAACAAGUAGAUUAGAAGCAUCUCUGCUACUGUACUAACCUCAAAUGAGAGGCCAACCUAUUGCUUUAAGUUAAGCCAAAUGUGAGCUAGUAGUGAGUGCCAAGUGCCAUCCAGAUUGGAAACUACUGUAACGACAUUCAUCUACAAUGGAAUUAAGUUAAGCCAAACCGUCCUAUGCUUACCAUGAAUUCAAAGGUUUGCUCCAAAUCUGCCCCCCUUGACACACAGAUUCAGAGUAUUUGAAGAAUAACAGAAACAACUGAAUGUCCCAAGGCAUGGCGUAAGUGCACAUAAAUCAGUAACAAAGACAAUAGGUCUGCCACCAAAGCGGAAGUGAACUUUGCAAUUGGAGAGUAAUCAGCGGGUGACAGGACGGAAAUAAAGCAAGAAACCAUCCUGCAGGUGACCGCGGGUGAGUAAUCAGCGGGUGACAGGAUGGAAAUGACCUUUGCAUUUGGAGAGUAAUCAGCGGGUGACAGUGGGUGACAGGCUAGCAUCUUCAGGCUGAUGAGCAAAUCCUGCAGGAAACCAUCGAACGUUGAAAAAUCUGUGGUCGGAAGGAGAGAUUACGAGGGAAGUGGAGGACGGACGAGCUCGGGUUCAGAGAGGGCCGCGAGCCACCGCGACUCCUCGGCGCUGGUGCUGCUCUUCGCGGCUCCCUGGACGGGGUUUCGCCGGCGGCGGCGGAUGGCGACAUGAGGAGGAAGAGGGGGUUCGCUUCGCUUGUUUUGUGUCUUUGGUUCGCGUCGCCUGCCCGAGCAUGUCGCCCUGCUCGCAGACCAGGUCGGGCUUCUCCCCCAACAUCGAGAGUGUCACGGAGGUCAAACGAUGCCUAC
rnacentral:lncRNA from 1 species